rnacentral:lncRNA from 1 species
ACAUCAGCCUUAGACUCUGAGCCCAAGCAAGGUGAUUACAAUUAUGAUGAUCUAUUAUUCCACUGUGAAGUUAGGUAGGGGGUCUAUUGAGAAGUUCAGGAAGAUCUUGGUCAGGGAAAUCAUCUUCUCCAACUAACUUGCCAAGCCUGAUUCCUGAUUUUACCUUUCACUAUAUAACAUACCUACCCACUCUUUAUACCCAAGUGUCUUACCCAGGGGUGAAGAACUGAAACAUCUUCCUGAACCAGCCUCUGUCACCACUGUCCUCCUGGCAGCAUCCUGAAUUGCGAAGAGCCACCCCGCCCCCCAGACAUUCAGUGACCUAGACUCAGACCUCUGGGGAAGGACACAGUCUCCAGGCUCAGCCAGUAGGCAGGGGACUGUGACAGAAAGGGACAUGUGGCCAAGUCCCUCUGGUGAGAUACAAACCUGGACUUUGGCCAAACCUGGUUUUCAACCUAGAAGCAUCUUUCUCCUGGACCUGGAAGCGAUCCCUUUGAAACACAGUCAUAAAGACAGGGCCUCUGUCUCCUGGGUCCUGUGGGAAGAGUCCUCAGGUGACCUUGGGAGUUCAUGCUUCCUCUCUAAGCCUUCGACCCCAAGCUGAAACAGUGGAGCUGCUGGAGAUGGUACUGGGUGCCCCUGCUAGCUGAGACAUUGCAGGACUUUUGGGACACGAGGUUCUGCCACUCUGAUCAGUCGUCAUCACCGUGUGUGCACAAGAGAACCCUGCAGAGCUUCCCAUGCUACAGCCAUUCAAACCUCUAAUCCUUGGAAUCCUGGUGUGGGAAAACUCAAGUGAAAAUGCCCAGGAAAUUCUGAUUGCUGCAGAGACAUUGAGGGAAUCAGCGAAUCUGGCAAUGAGGUUCUUACUGCAACCCCUAGAGGCAGCUGUCUUAAUGAAGAUGUGGGAACAGGGAGGCCUAUUGCAGAGAAAAAAGGCUGGAGUGCAGUGGUGCCAUCUCAGCUUACUGCAACCUCUGACUCCCUGGUUCAAACGAUUCUCCUGCCUCAGCCUCCCGAGUAGCUGGGAUUACAGGUGUGUGCCACCACGUCUGGGGUUUCACCAUAUUGGCCAGGAUGGUCUCGAUCUCCUGACCUCAUGAUCCGCCCGCCUCGGCCUCCCAAAGUGCUGGGAUUACAGGCAUGAGCCACUGUGCCCGGCCUCUGAUGGUUUCAUAAGGGGCUUCCCCCUUCGUUUGGCUCUAAUUCUCUCUCCUGCCACCCUGUGAAGACGUGCCUUCCGCCAUGAUUGUAAGUUUCCUGAGGCCUCCCCAGCCAUGUGGAACUGUGAGUCAAUCAAACCUCUUUUCUUUAUAAAUUACCCAGUCUCGGGUAUUUCUUCAUAGCAGAGUGAGAACGGAUGAAUACAGUGGGGGAGAGAGUUGCUGUGUUUAUAUUUUAUGUGUUAAAUGCUCUUGGAUGAUCUUCACUCCUCAGAAUUCUCUUGGGUUCUCAGCUUUCCUUAGUUUUCCAGGAGCAUUGUUUGAUAUUUUCACUGAAUGUGUUUAUACCUUUUUCUUUAUGAAUAAAAUCUGGGCAAAUCAAUUAUCUUAAAAUAAUGUCCUCUAAUUUCUAGAUUAAGGACUCAUUAACUCAAUAUUUUUAGAUGUAUUUUUAGUGUUAUUUUUAGAUGUAUUUUUGAUACUAAUUGGUUAUUUGCUUUUCUGCUUCUCUUCCUGAAAUGCAGUUCUCACUUCUUCUGGGAUUAAAAUUAAUUACUAUUCAAAGGACAUUGACAGAAGUUGAGUAAUAAUACUAAGCAUAGUCUACUCUUAGUAUUAUUUCCUUCACAUCAGCAGGUCUCUUAUUCAGGUUAUGAGACCGCUUUGAAAUUAGUGGAGAGAAAAGUUAAUGCUAAACUAAUAUUUGUUUUUUUGCAAAUCAAGGAGAUAAGUCAUUUCAAUGUCCCUGAUGGUUCCAUCUAGAAAUAGAGAUCACAGGUGAUGAAGGAGAUGAUAAUGAUGGUGAUAAUAAGGAUGGCAGUAAUGAGAAAAGCUUCAAUUAACUGGGUGUCUAAUUUGGGACAUGUCUCAAUCAGAAUAGAAUAGUAAGUGCUUUUCAAAGAGAAUUCAGAUGACCAGCACCAUCAGCAUUGCAUGGGAUCCUGUUAGAAAUGCAAAUUUUGGACCCCAACACAAGACCUACUAUACUGCAAUGUUGGGGAGUUGAGCCCAGAGAUAUGGAUUUUAGUAAUCCCUCAAAUGAUUCUUAUGCAUGUUUAAGUUGGAGAAAUAGUGACUAAGUAAUGAUGUGGCAACAAACAAGCCCAGAAUUUCAGUGACGUAAACCUCCGAGAUUUAUUCACUGAUCACACUGUGGGUCCUUAUGGGUCAUCUGCUGUCUGCUCGCCACGUCACUCAGGGGCCUAAGCUGAUGGUGCAGCCCCACAUGGAAACUGCUGGUGGCUAUGGCAGAGGAAAAGAAAAGAGAGAAAAUAUGCUCUGCUUCUGGCUGUCAACAUUUCAGCCAGGAGUAUGCCCUUCCAGUCAAUUAGAAGCCACACUCCACACUUAAAUCUACUGUUACUGCAUCCUUGACAACGAUCUUCUUCCCUGAAACGUCUCCUGUGUGAUGGAUUGAGGGUGCAAAUACCGAUGGCUUUCUAUUUCUCUUCUUUUCUCAUCUCAACUCAAACUAAACAUUUUUUUCAGGAAAAGAAGAAGAACAAAGGAUCUCCACAGAUUAAUGAUUGGGUUUAUUCUUUGAAUGUUUGAUUCUUUUAUAGUUUGAUUUGAGAUAAAUCCUGGUGAUGCUAAUUCCCAACAUAAAAUGUCAUCUGAGUUUAAAUGGGUGACAGUGUUUUCUUCAUUUAAGAUGCUCUUUUAUGACCAUACUAUAAUUAUAAAGAACGGGGUGCUUUGUUUGGCUUUAUGGAAGCAGCAAUCAUAAUCACAAUAAAACACAGUUAUCUUUGCCUCACUUGACCCUACCUUGGAGUAUGCUUCACACAGAAGUGCUAGGGGAUUGGGGCUUAAGGCGAUCACAAAAUACUUUCUAAAUGGCUCACCAGAAAUAAAGAAAAAAGACGAUGAAAGAAAGAAUUUAGUUCUAUGCAGAUUCUUUUUUAUUUUGUUGAAAGACACAUUUUUUCUCCUGCUAAAAAUUACCAAUUCAUUUCCUCUAGAGCUUGAGGCACCAUGACACAGAAACCAAGGACACAUGACUUCAGAUACUUAAGAAAACUCAUGUCAUCAAAUCACAUCAAGAACAUUGGAUGGCACAUCAAGACCUUCGUAAUAAGCUCAUUCACUGUAAAAUAUGGAGACUGGUAGUAUAUAUGCCCUCAAAAAAAGUUAUUAUGAGGGUUCAAGAAAGUGGCCCUUGCAGAAUGCACAGAGCAGUACUCGUCACAUAGAGGCACUCAUCAGUAUUUUCUGUGUAUCAUCAAGAUCAUCAUCAUCACCAUCACCAUGCUGAUCACCCUUUCAACCAUGGAAUGCUGCUGACAUAAGCAAGUGACAAGUUAGAUUCUGCUUGACGUCCUGGUGCUGUGGCUCACGCCUGUAAUCCCAGGACUUUGGGAGGCCGAGGCGGGCAGAUCACGAGGUCAGGAGUUUGAGACCAGCCUGGCCAGCAUGGUGAAACCCUAUCUCUACUAAAAAUACAAAAAUUAGCUGGACUCAGUGGCACGUACCUAUAAUCCCAGCUACUUGGGAGGCUGAGGCAGGAGAAUUGCUUGAACCUGGGGGGCGGAGCUUGCAGUGAGCCAAGAUCGCGCCAGUGCACUCCUGCCUGGGUGACAGAGUGAGACUCCAUCUCAAAAAACAAACAAACAAACAAACAAACAAACAAAAAGAGAUUCUGCUUGAGUCUUUCCAUUCUUAAACAUGAUUAAUGUACGAAAUAUACAAAAAAUGUACAAAAUGCACAUAAAUGUACAGACAAUAAAAAAUUAAAAAUAAAAAAUGAUAAUCCAUG